AUGUGUAUAUUCAUCUGGGAAACACGUGUCCAAGCUACGUGAUGUAUUCCUAUUCCUUUUCAUCCAUUCUCUAUUCCAAGAAAAAUUGCUCUGCAAGAUGGAAGGGUUUUGCAAGCCCUCAUAUGAAAUUUUUCAGUUAAAUUGCAUACCUAGCUUCUCCCCUCCCUUCUCAUUUUUGUUUUGCCUUUUGAUUUUAGAUCUGUUUUGUCAAUUUUUUUCAUUCGACGAGUUUCAAAUUUUCUUUAUAUAUCAGUUUUGUUGUUUAUGAUGUGGUAACUUUGCAUGCAUUAAAUCUAAAUUUGAUUAGAUGUUGUUGUUAUGGUCGUUUACUCCUCUUCUUCUCCGAUUUCCUUAAUUGUAGCUUUCUUUUUCAACUUUUUCUCCUUUUGUUCUUGAUGUGGGUGUUUUUUCAAUUUGUUAUUUUUUCACAAAUAGGACUUUACAGGUACUUGGAGAAGAAACGAAAGGAAAGAAGCAGGGAACAUUGAGCAUUAUCAAGUACAACGAACUUAAAUCUUGAUUUUUUUUCUCGAAAAGACUUUCAACUGGAAGGAUUAGCUAUUAGAGUUACCCUAAUUUUACAACCCUUUCUCCUAUGUGGAAAGUCCAGUAUUUCUCCCACUUUAGUUGAUUUAACUUUCCAGUUGGAUAUGCAGUUAAAUUAUAAUGUUGAAUACUAACAUAUGUAUAUGUCAUAAGCAUAAACUUUAAUUUGCUUAUAUGACAAGGAAGACUUUCUUUGCACAUGAAGAAUUCUUUGUAAGAUAAGUUAUUUAUUUUUCAUAGGGUGCAAACAAUCUCAUAGGGUGCAAACAAUCUCAAUUUUUAACACAUCUUAUUCAUUUAUCUAAAAGCUAUGGAGAAUUACAGAUUUCAAUCAAUAGUAUAUCGCCUUCAGGGAAUUACAAAAUCGUCUCAGAGAUUUGUUCCUAUACCAUUUGCAUCUGAUGGUUUAACUGAAGAAUUUUAUGAUCUGGAUGCUUAUAACCCUGCUGAAAGUAAGUUCAUUAUGAAACUUCAAGUUCAUCCAGAACGAAUGAGCCAAGAAGAUAGUCACGAACUUGAUUUGUUACAAUUAUAAAUUUCUAGUUCUACUAAAUUUUGAAAAACGUAAUGAAGAUAUACGUGUUUAGUUUAAAAUAAGCUAUAAGAUAGUCAUAUUAUAACUUAUUUAAUUAUUAAUUCAUUGAUGUAAACUGGUAUAACUUUUACUAGGAAUAGAGAGAAGACAUACAAAGAUACAUAAUAAUUAGGUGUCUUUUCCACGAUCACAUUCAUAUUUAUCGGCUCCGUUGACUCCUCAAAGUCAAAGUGAAAUUCUUGAAGAAAGCUUUCAAGGUCACAAGGAAUGAUGGUGAGAAUCUCUAACCUGAGCCAAUGUAAGAUUCUGGUGAGUGAAUUCAUGUCGAGGGGAAGUUUGGAAAAUCAUCUAUUCAGAAAUCAGAAGUAAGUACAGUUUGUGUGGAAUCAUAACUGCAUAUUUGAUGCAAGAACGGAUCCACAAUAUGAUAUGCAGAUCCAUAGGAACCCAAUUGCUUUCUCUAAGCCGUGUAUAAGAAAUUCAUUUUUCUAUGAACUUAGUUCAUUAUAGAAAUUCAUAAAGUUGAGAUCUUGAAUCCACAUCUAAUUUGAGGACAUCCACUAAUAUCAUUCCUGUAAUGUCAUUGAAUUAACCUUGGUACAUCUUGAACAGAGGACUGCUUAUUUCCAACCACUAUCAUAGAAUCUCCGAAUAAAGGUUACUCUCGAGACUGCUAAAGUACUGACAUAUCUCCACAACUCAGAAGCUAAAAUUAUAUAUCAGGAUUUCAAAUCAUCUAACAUUUUUCUUGUUACUAAUUACAAUGCAAAGUUGAGCCAAUACACAGUAAAAUGGGUACCUUCUGUUGUGCUGCUCCUGAGUAUAUGACUACUGGUAAUAUACAAUUACAAUUUACUGCUAAUUGUUCUUGUGCUUUACCUGAGCUGAGCGUCAAUCAGAAGCCAAGUACAAAGUAGUUAAAAGAUAGAGAUGGUGUCAUUAGGCAUAGCUUGGCUGGUCCAUUUCCAUCAGUUUCUCUGUUCAAUGAGUAUCAAAAUGUAGCGAUGGUUGUAAAUUCAUCAAUACCCACUGUACUAUGUCAUAUUUCCAGCAUUAGAUAGUAUGUUUAUCAAUAGUUUAGCCAAUUUUUAGAAUGUAUCCAAAUUACUUAAAAGUUGCACAGCUAGACUGAUUUAGCAUGAUAAAUGAUGUUCGAUCUGAAAUUUAAUAUGAAUUUUGUAUGUUACCCGUUGUUAUGUGAGCUUAACUUUUUGAUUCACA